GACGAACGCUGGCGGCGUGCUUAACACAUGCAAGUCGAACGGAAAGGCCCUGCUUGCAGGGUACUCGAGUGGCGAACGGGUGAGUAACACGUGGGUGAUCUGCCCUGCACUUCGGGAUACGCCUGGGAAACUGGGUCUAAUACCGGAUAGGAGCCAUUUUUAGUGUGAUGGUUGGAAAGUUUUUUCGGUGUAGGAUGAGCUCGCGGCCUAUCAGCUUGUUGGUGGGGUAAUGGCCUACCAAGGCGGCGACGGGUAGCCGGCCUGAGAGGGUGGACGGCCACAUUGGGACUGAGAGACGGCCCAGACGCCGACGGGAGGCAGCAGGGGGGAAUAUUGCACAAUGGGCGCAAGCCUGAUGCAGCGACGCCGCGGGGGGGAUGACGGCCUUCGGGUUGUAAACGCCUUUCGCUAGGGACGAAGCUUUUUGUGACGGUACCUAGAGAAGAAGCACCGGCUAACUACGUG
rnacentral:rRNA from 1 species